rnacentral:rRNA from 1 species
UACGUAGGUCCCGAGCGUUGUCCGGAUUUAUUGGGCGUAAAGCGAGCGCAGGUGGUUUAUUAAGUCUGGUGUAAAAGGCAGUGGCUCAACCAUUGUAUGCAUUGGAAACUGGUAGACUUGAGUGCAGGAGAGGAGAGUGGAAUUCCAUGUGUAGCGGUGAAAUGCGUAGAUAUAUGGAGGAACACCGGUGGCGAAAGCAGCUCUCUGGCCUGUAACUGACACUGAGGUUCGAAAGCGUGGGUAGCAAACAGG